AUCCCUAAUUUCGGUACACUGCUUACUAUUUAUUUAUUAAGCACAUUAUUUUCCCGUUGUGAUCGUUGUCUAAAAAUAGUGUUUGUAUUGUAGCAAAGGAACGAUAUGUGGAAGUAAAUCUAUUAAACUUACACUUUCGCUUUCAACACCUCAAUUUCUUGCAUGGUGCUGUCAUAAAAGGAGAAGUCGCGAGGUGGUGAUGUCGCGGCAUUUAUAUAAAGAGGGCAAUUUUCCUGGUUCUCAUCUGUAAUUUACUUGGUUCAAAUUGCGUCAGUGCCAUGUUGGUGUGGGUGCCUAGUCAUUUUUUCUGUUUCAAGUUGUAAGCCACCACUCUUGGUCAUCGUGGGGUCUUCGCUGGGCCUGCCUGUGUGGAUAUACGCUUACGACAAAGACGAACUAGAACUUGCUAAAGUUGAUUGUACAACCUGGCCCCUGAGGUUAAUAAGAUACCUGGCCAACUUUUUAAUGUCUGACGACAUUGCUAAUUAAA